rnacentral:rRNA from 1 species
UACGGGGGGGGCAAGCGUUGUUCGGAAUUACUGGGCGUAAAGGGCUCGUAGGUGGCCAACUAAGUCAGACGUGAAAUCCCUCGGCUUAACCGGGGAACUGCGUCUGAUACUGGAUGGCUUGAGUUCGGGAGAGGGAUGCGGAAUUCCAGGUGUAGCGGUGAAAUGCGUAGAUAUCUGGAGGAACACCGGUGGCGAAGGCGGCGAUCCUGGACCGACACUGACGCUGAGGAGCGAAAGCCAGGGGAGCAAAACGGGG